rnacentral:misc_RNA from 1 species
GGCGUUGAUAUAAACACACAACAGGUUUUGUUUGUUAUUUCACUCAGUAUUGAUGCUCCUAAUCCAUGGUUGACUUGAUAUCUAUGCCACUGAGAAAACAUCCUUUGUAGGGCUUGAAAAGACUAAUUACUUUAGUUGGAUUUAGAGGAAAGCAUUCAAGACUUUUUUCUGUAACUAUUAUGGUUGUCUUGCACCCUUUGGCAUCCAAGUAAUGAAUGAGAUGAGUGAAGUAAUGUCUAAGAAGUGCCACCAGGUUGUUAGGACAACAUAAUUUGAAACCAGAUUAUGAUGCGUGUGAAUAAUGAACAAGUUUUAGCAUAAAAUAAAUAAAUUUGUGGAUAAUGCUGUUGACAUGGAUAUAGGAUAUUUGUUGCUGGUGAAUUGCUAAAGUAGGAUUCCCUGAUUUUGAGGACUGCCAUUGUGAUCAGAAAGACUUUAAAGUUUUGAUCCAUAUAUAGUUGGGAAAAAAUGAUAGUGAAUUUUCAUGCAUCUUCUAUUCUCAGCCAAUGUCAUGGUCGAAAAGUAUAGUAUUUUGACAUAUGUUGUGUAGAAUAACUUUUUAGCUUUAUGUCGAUUCUAUUUGUGCUUUUACAAAUUUGAUGUAAUUUGAUCUUGGAAACAUGAGAUUUUGUAGUUGCAAAUGCUGAUCUGAUCUGCCAAUGGGGUAGUGUAUUUGUUAUUGGAGUUUUGCAAAUGACUUGAAGUUGAUCACUCUCGAUUAGAUUGCAUUUUCUUAUAUUCGACUGUUGUUUGUUUGGAAAUUGUUAGCCCUUUGUUGCAAAUAAUUAGCCACCUUCUUUAUGAUGUUAGAUAUUAUUUGCAGAGUUUUGAAGCUCUGAAUCAA